GAUGAAGAACGCAGCGAAAUGCGAUAAGUAAUGUGAAUUGCAGAAUUCAGUGAAUCAUCGAAUCUUUGAACGCACAUUGCGCCCGCCAGUAUUCUGGCGGGUAUGCCUGUUCGAGCGUCAUUACAACCCUCAGGCCCCCGGGCCUGGCGUUGGGGAUCGGCGGAGCCCCCCGUGGGCACACGCCGUCCCCCAAAUACAGUGGCGGUCCCGCCGCAGCUUCCAUCGCGUAGUAGCUAACACCUCGCGACUGGAGAGCGGCGCGGCCACGCCGUAAAACACCCAACUCUUCUGAAGUUGACCUCGAAUCAGGUAGGAAUACCCGCUGAACUUAAGCAUAUCAAUAGCGGAGGA
rnacentral:misc_RNA from 1 species